rnacentral:rRNA from 1 species
GAUGAAUGCUGGCGGCGUGCCUAACACAUGCAAGUCGAGCGGCAGCGCGAGUAGUUUACUACUUGGCGGCGAGCGGCGGACGGCUGAGUAACGCGUGGGAACGUGCCCCAAAGUGAGGGAUAACGCACCGAAAGGUGUGCUAAUACCGCAUAUGAUCUUCGGAUUAAAGAAUUUAUUCGCUUUGGGAGCGGCCCGCGUCGGAUUAGGUAGUUGGUAGUGUAAUGGCCUACCAAGCCGACGAUCCGUAGCUGGUCUGAGAGGAUGACCAGCCAGACUGGAACUGAGACACGGUCCAGACUCCUACGGGAGGCAGCAGUGAGGAAUCUUCUACAAUGGGCGAAAGCCUGAUGGAGCGACGCCGCGUGCAGGAUGAAGGCCUUCGGGUUGUAAACUGCUUUUAUAAGUGAAGAAUAUGACGGUAACUUAUGAAUAAGCACCGGCUAACUACGUGCCAGCCGCCGCAGUAA